rnacentral:rRNA from 1 species
CCUACGGGUGACAGCAGUGGGGGAUAUUGCACAAUGGGCGCAACCCUGAUGCAGCGACGCCGCGUGGGCGAAGAAGUAUUUCGGUAUGUAAAGCUCUAUCUGCAGGGAAGAAGAAAUGACGGUACCUGAGUUAGAAGCACCGGCUAAAUACGUGCCAGCAGCCGCGGUAAUACGUAUGGUGCGAGCGUUAUCCGGAUUUACUGGGUGUAAAGGGAGCGCAGGCGGCACGGCAAGCCUGAUGGGAAAGCCCGCGGCCCAACCGGGGUACUGCAUUGGAAACUAGCGGGCUGGAGUGCCGGAGAGGUAGGCGGAAUUCCUAGUGUAGCGGUGAAAUGCGUAGAUAUUAGGAGGAACACCAGUGGCGAAGGCAGCCUACUGGACGGUGACUGACGCUGAGGCUCGAAAGCGUGGGGAGCAAACAGGAUUAGAUACCCUUGUAGUC